rnacentral:rRNA from 1 species
CGUACACUCCUACGGGAGGCAGCAGUGGGGAAUAUUGCACAAUGGGCGCAAGCCUGAUGCAGCCAUGCCGCGUGUAUGAAGAAGGCCUUCGGGUUGUAAAGUACUUUCAGCGGGGAGGAAGGCAAUACGGUUAAUAACCGUGUUGAUUGACGUUACCCGCAGAAGAAGCACCGGCUAACUCCGUGCCAGCAGCCGCGGUAAUACGGAGGGUGCAAGCGUUAAUCGGAAUUACUGGGCGUAAAGCGCACGCAGGCGGUCUGUCAAGUCGGAUGUGAAAUCCCCGGGCUCAACCUGGGAACUGCAUUCGAAACUGGCAGGCUUGAGUCUUGUAGAGGGGGGUAGAAUUCCAGGUGUAGCGGUGAAAUGCGUAGAGAUCUGGAGGAAUACCGGUGGCGAAGGCGGCCCCCUGGACAAAGACUGACGCUCAGGUGCGAAAGCGUGGGGAGCAAACAGGAUUAGAUACCCCUGUAGUCCCAUGAU